rnacentral:lncRNA from 1 species
GGAGCAGGGGUGGCGGGGAACUUGAACAUAAUUUUAAAGCUACAUUAUUAUACAACACUUUUCUAACAAUUAAUUAGUAGGGGAGUAAUGACUUUUGUAGACGUUCAAUUAAGGCUAUUAAUUUCUUUUUAUCUUAUCUUCUAAUCAUAUUUUUCAUGUUCUCUAUUUUUAGUUUUCAAUUGCUAGGUAUCAAAUAGUAUUAAAUACUUUUUAUUAC